UUGUGUCCAACCUCCCACAUGAAAUGAUCCUUUUAGAGGGAACUCGAUAUGUCUCAAUCUGCACUUCACUCAAAGCCUGUGGGUACGGACCACUCACUCACUGGUCCUGGCUCCAAAAUAACUCAGCAGAAACGAGUUUCCAACUAAAAAUCCCCUCGAAUGUCUCCCAGGGAAGAAAUAUAGCUCCUAUAAUUAAAGGAGGCAACGGCCAGAGGGGGAAUGCAGCCGGCAGCCAAAAAAAAAAAAUUCAAUUUUGAGGAAUGUUCACCUAGAGGACUCCAAGAUCUUCAGCCCCAACAGCAGUUUCUGGGGAGGUAGAUGAUGGGGGUGGUGUAGAGGGAGCAGAAGUAGGUGAACAUUUCAGUAAGGCAGGGAGAAGGUGAGAUGUGGUGAUUGUGGAUAGUGUUCCUGAUAAGAUGUUUAAGUUUUCAGGCUAAAGGAGAAACAAAAUGUCUUUCAUUUGUAACUCAACUCUGAUUAAAAACUUGGGAGAAGUUAGUUUUUCAGUUGAAAUGAUAGGAACAUUUUAGGAAAUUUCUGAUGCCUGACCUAAAGAUCUCAUCCUUGUUCAAGAUAAAUAAUAAAAUACUUCAAAACGA